rnacentral:lncRNA from 1 species
UAUGUUAGCGUUAUGUUAAGUUUAAAGCUUUAUGCCCAAAACUAUUUGUAUGAUAUUUGUAAAGCGUUAUGUUUAACCGUUAUGUUUACAAAAUGGCGCGAAUCUAAAGGAUUUUUGCAAUUAGAUUUUUUGUUUAUAAUGUCUCUACUAUUUUGAUUUACUUAUUUAUUUACGUACGGUAUUUACCACUUACUAAGUAACUUAGCUAUAAAACAGCAUUUUGGUUGUUAAUUAAUAUAUAUUUAUUGUAUAUUUGGUUCUGAAGCCCAUAACUGAUUGAUUUAACGUAUCCUUGUUUUGGGCAGCUUCUGGGAUGUUUCCAAGAUAUUUGUGGAUUUGGGCAAUAAGUUUUAUUAUUUAAAAAAUUCAUUUUAGUUCUGCAGUCUUUUCAUAGCAAUGCAAAGUACUUUUGACUUUAUUAAUGUUAAUUUUUACCAAAGUUAAUUUGUUUAAUUAUUUUCUUGGUUAUGAAAAAUGAUUUAAUAUAAAUAUAUUAAGGUAUUAAACUGCAUGAAUUUUUUUUGUUUAAUUAAACUUUUAUUAUCAUAAAAAUGUUCAAGGUUAGUUUGAGGAAUUAUUUGGAAAUCGGAAAAAUGGAAAAAACAUUAAAUUUGUUUAUGCUGCAUUUAUACUUCUUGUAUUGAAGAUGCAUUCCUAAAAAUUUCAAAUUUUUAAUUCACUGUAUAUUGUGCCAAUUUUCGGUCCGUAAAUUGACCAAUAAGUUCCCUGAAAUAGACUAAGUCUUUAAUAUUUGAAAUUAUUUUGAAAGAAAAAAUUAUUUAUUGUUAAGUUGAAAUUCUGAAGAAAUAUAUUAUAUGAUAUUUUUAUAAUAAAUUUUUUCUAGUAAUAUAAUAUAAAUUAGUGUAGUAUUAUUAAACUAAUUAAAUUGUGCCAAAUAAUGUUGUUUAAUAAUGUUGUUUAAUACUUGUGUAAUAAUGGUGUUUACCUCUUACCGUCUGACCUGUCUGUUUAUUAUUACUGUUUUUAACAUUAAUUUUGUAUUGCAAGUAUUAAAAAAUGUUAAAUAUACUAUUUGUAAAAUUAAAGUAGUAUAAACUAAUAAUAACUGCUUUACUUAUUUCUUCAAUAGUUAAUAGUUGAAAUAAUAAAGGCUGUUGUUGUCAAAUUUCUUGGGGAAAGAAAAUUGUUAUUGCUUGUAAUAUUGCUGACAUUUUAACUAAUGUGUGAUUCACUACAUGAAUACUUAUGCUAAAGUUUAUAUGGUCCACAAGUUAUCUUUAAUAAAACAGAAUAUGAUGUAAGGAGUUGAAGAGGUAUCGAAAUGGAUGUUCAACUCUUGAUCAGUACAUUUGUUUACUAUUUGUUAGAUUUAACAUAUUCUUGUUUUGGGCGGCUUCUGAGAUGUUAGCAAGAUAUUUGAGACUUUUUGCAAUUGGCUUUAUUAUCUAAAAAAUGCAUUUUUCUUCUGCAAUCUUUUCAAAGCAAUGCAAAUUACUUUUGAAUUUAUA